GACGAACGCUGGCGGCGUGCUUAACACAUGCAAGUCGAACGGAAAGGCCCUGCGUUUGUGGGGUGCUCGAGUGGCGAACGGGUGAGUAACACGUGAGUAACCUGCCCUUGACUGUGGGAUAACUCCAGGAAACUGGGGCUAAUACCGGAUAGGAGCUCCUGCUGCAUGGGGGGGGUUGGAAAGUUUCGGCGGUUGGGGAUGGACUCGCGGCUUAUCAGCUUGUUGGUGGGGUAGUGGCUUACCAAGGCUUUGACGGGUAGCCCGCCUGAGAGGGUGACCGGCCACCUUGGGACUGAGAUACGCCCCAGACUCCUACGGUAGGCAGCAGUGGGGAAUAUUGCGCAAUGGCCGGAAGCCUGAUGCAGCAACCCCGCGUGCGUGAUGACGGCCUUCUGGUUGUAAACCGCUUUCGCCUUUGACGAGGCCUUAGUGACGGUACUUGGUAAAGAAGCACCGGCUAACUACGUG
rnacentral:rRNA from 1 species